UGGCUCUCGCAUCGAUGAAGAACGCAGCGAAAUGCGAUAAGUAAUGUGUAUUGCAGAAUUCAGUGAAUCAUCGAAUCUUUGAACGCACCUUGCGCUCCUUGGUAUUCCGAGGAGCAUGCCUGUUUGAGUGUCGUGAAAUUAUCAACUCCCAUUCUUUGUUGAUUGGUGAGCUUGGACUUGGGGACUGCUGGUGCAAAUCAGCUUCCCUUGAAUGAAUUAGCUGGAAUUUGAUUCGCAGCAUAUAUGCGGUGUGAUAAUGUCGUCACUGUGUAGCUCGGAUUGUCUGGCUUCUAAUCGUCCUUCACGGACAACUUGAUCUUUUGACCUCAAAUCAGGUAGGACUACCCGCUGA
rnacentral:misc_RNA from 1 species